rnacentral:rRNA from 1 species
ACGGGUGAGUAACGCGUGGGAACGACCUUUUGGUUCGGAACAACACAGGGAAACUUGUGCUAAUACCGGAUAAGCCUUACGGGAAAGAUUAUCGCCGAAAGAUCGGCCCGCGUCUGAUUAGCUAGUUGGUGAGGUAACGGCUCACCAAGGCGACGAUCAGUAGCUGGUCUGAGAGGAUGAUCAGCCACAUUGGGACUGAGACACGGCCCAA